GAGUGCUGACAGCCACUGUUUGUGCGAGUGCCUAUACUAUAAUAAACACCGUGAUAUCGUACAGGACUCCCCCGGAGAAGGACGGCAGAGUCAAGUGCCUUUUGCGCUUGAUAAUAUCAGUGACCACCGUAUUCUUCUUAGUGAUAGGUGCAGCGUUUGCUUUCAUGUUCAUCUGGAUGGCACCAGUAAACACACAGCUGUAUGAGGUAUGGGGAUUUGCUCAUUCUAUGUAUUGUACUAUUGCUUUAGGGCCACACAGGGGACUUGCAAUAUACCAGUUGUACCAAUCUUUAGUGCUCACUCUUGGCUUUAGCUUUGUGCCAGUAAAUGUUAUUUGAAUCAUAGCCAUGGCACAGUGUAGCAGUUUAUUCUGUAAAUGGAAUGCAUGUGUAUUUCAGUCCUGUCACUGUGCAACCAUCAAUCAUUUUCUUGUGGAAAUCAACUCAUAAUUUGUUUUUCAGAUCAUGAACAUCUUACGAGUUACCAGCGAAUGGCUCUCAACUGUCACAUUUUAUGGGUAUUUGGCCACAUUUGCUACAGACUUCAAGAUCUACGGUUUCACAAUACCCAAGAACAUGAAGGACGAUUGGUUCUAUGUCAGAACCAAGUUACCUGGUGAUGUAGAGGCCAAUGAAGAGAGUGAAAUAUAAGGGAGAAGGUUUGGAUGUGGCAUCUGUGACCUGAAGCAGUCCUCAGCCAGUGGGAAUUUCCAAUCUGCCCACUGAGAUAUCUGUCAGGGAAGUGCUUUUUACUCAGAGAUGCAAAUCACAGAUAAUACUAACCAGGGUUUGGUCGGCUUAAGACUUGACUGAAGUACAAUUUGCUGGAUGUGAGUGCUCUAAGGCACAUAAAGCCUCAUUAACAUGUGUGAAGAUGGAUUUCAAUUCUCACUCCAACAAGUCGUUAGGCCCGAGCCAUCCGUUAGGCUCUUGCCGCUGUAUGAAGAAGAUAAGUCCAAGGAGGGAUCCAAUACAAAAUAUCUGUUGCACCGUAAGCACCCGCUCGGCUCCCACCAAUGAUCUGUUUGGGAUAUCGUGGGACUACUCCUUCCUGUGGAUCCUAUUGUAAUUCAAAGCUAUUGUAAUAACCUAUGGGUUUUGUCAAUGACCUUAAAUAAAAUAAAUGAUUUAAUUCACGUUAA